GUGAGCGUAGCGCAGUCUGGUAGCGCACCUGCUUUGGGAGCAGGGGGUCAGGGGUUCAAAUCCCCUCGCUCGCA
rnacentral:tRNA from 4 species